rnacentral:ncRNA from 1 species
GGUUAGUUUUACCCUACUGAUGAAGCGUUGUUGCCACAGUAAUCCUGCUCAGUACGAGAGGAACCGCAGAUUCAGACAUUUGGUUCAUGUGCUUGGCUGAUAAGCCAAUGGUGCGAAGCUACCAUCUGAGGGAUUAUGACUGAACGCCAAGUCAGAAUCCCGCCUGGAAAGCGACGAUGCAUUCGUGCCUCGGCCUCGAGAGGCGUAGCUAGACGGCCGUGUGGCCGUGGAAAGAGCCCGAUUCCGACCCGAGAGGCCGCGGCAAGAGGCGGCCUCGAAGUCGGUGGAUCCUCCUGCUCGAAAGGCGGGGUGCUAAACCAUUCGCAGACGACCUAGUUGAAGAUCGGGGUGUCGUGAUCACUAGAGCAGUACAUCUCACUGCGAUUUGUUGAGAGUAAGCCUCAAGAUCUGUCGGUUUGU